GAUGAACGCUGGCGGCGUGCCUAAUACAUGCAAGUCGAGCGAAUGGAUUAAGAGCUUGCUCUUAUGAAGUUAGCGGCGGACGGGUGAGUAACACGUGGGUAACCUGCCCAUAAGACUGGGAUAACUCCGGGAAACCGGGGCUAAUACCGGAUAACAUUUUGAACCGCAUGGUUCGAAAUUGAAAGGCGGCUUCGGCUGUCACUUAUGGAUGGACCCGCGUCGCAUUAGCUAGUUGGUGAGGUAACGGCUCACCAAGGCAACGAUGCGUAGCCGACCUGAGAGGGUGAUCGGCCACACUGGGACUGAGACACGGCCCAGACUCCUACGGGAGGCAGCAGUAGGGAAUCUUCCGCAAUGGACGAAAGUCUGACGGAGCAACGCCGCGUGAGUGAUGGAGGCUUUCGGGUCGUAAAACUCUGUUGUUAGGGAGGAACAAGUGCUAGUUGAAUAAGCUGGCACCUUGACGGUACCUAACCAGAAAGCCACGGCUAACUACGUGCCAGCAGCCGCCGUAA
rnacentral:rRNA from 1 species